rnacentral:RNase_P_RNA from 1 species
UGAGUAGGCCGGGCGGCCGCGGCGUCCGCAUGGGCGUCGAGGAAAGUCCGAGCUCCAUGGGCAGGGUGCUUCGUAACGCGAAGGCGGGGUGACCCGACGGAAAGUGGCACAGAAAACACACAGCCGAUGUCGUCUUGCCGGGGGCUUCCCCGGGGAGAAGGCAGGCAACGGUGAAAAGGUGCGGUAAGAGCGCACCAGCGGCCUGGUGACAGGCCGGCUUGCUAAACCCCACCUGGAGCAAUUCCAAAUAGGGGAGCGAUGGAGUGGCCCGCUCCGCUCCCGGGUUGGAAGCUUGAGGCGUGCGGCGACGCACGGCCCAGAUGAAUGGCCGCCUCGGGCGCGUCUCCGUAAGGGGCCGCGCCUAGACAGAACUCGGCUUACAGGCCUGCUCGCUCA